rnacentral:rRNA from 1 species
UACGUAGGGUGCAAGCGUUAAUCGGAAUUACUGGGCGUAAAGCGUGCGCAGGCGGUUUUGUAAGUCUGUCGUGAAAUCCCCGGGCUCAACCUGGGAAUUGCGAUGGAGACUGCAAGGCUAGAAUCUGGCAGAGGGGGGUAGAAUUCCACGUGUAGCAGUGAAAUGCGUAGAGAUGUGGAGGAACACCGAUGGCGAAGGCAGCCCCCUGGGUCAAGAUUGACGCUCAUGCACGAGAGCGUGGGGAGCAAACAGG